CACGUGUAGCAGUGAAAUGCGUGGAUAUCAAGAGGAACACUCGUGGCGAAAGCGAGCUACUGGACAACUCCUGACGCUGAGGCUCGAAGGCCAGGGUAGCGAAAGGGAUUAGAUACCCCUGUAGUCCUGGCAGUAAACGGUGCACGCUUGGUGUGAGGGGAAUCGACCCCCCUUGUGCCGGAGCAAACGCGUUAAGCGUGCCGCCUGGGAAGUACGGUCGCAAGACUAAAACUCAAAGAAAUUGACGGGGACCCGCACAAGCGGUGGAGUAUGUGGCUUAAUUCGAUGCAACGCGAAGAACCUUACCAAGGCUUGACAUGGAUUUCUAAGCACGUGAAAGCGUGUGACCCUUCGGGGAACUUCCACAGGUGCUGCAUGGCUGUCGUCAGCU
rnacentral:rRNA from 1 species